AGAGAUUGCCCCAGUAACGGCGAGUGAAGCGGCAAGAGCUCAAAUUUUAAAUCUGGGGUCUCCGGCCCCCGAGUUGUAAUUUGGAGAGGCAUCUUCGGGAGGAGCGCUGGCCAAUGUUCCUUGGAACAGGACGUCGCAGAGGGUGAGAAUCCCGUGCCAGGCCAGCCGCGCCCUUCCACGUGAAGCGCCUUCGACGAGUCGAGUUGUUUGGGAAUGCAGCUCCAAGUGGGUGGUAAAUUUCAUCUAAAGCUAAAUACCGGCGAGAGACCGAUAGCGCACAAGUAGAGUGAUCGAAAGAUGAAAAGCACUUUGAAAAUAGAGUCAAAAAGUACGUGAAAUUGUUGAAAGGGAAGCGCUUGAGACCAGACUCGGAGCGAGGCAAACAUCUGGCCCCGCGGGGCCGUGCACUUGCCUCGGGCCGGGCCAGCAUCAGUUGGUGCGGCGGGAGAAAGGCGCGGGGAAUGUGGCUCCCCUCGGGGAGUGUUAUUAGCCCCGUGCUCAAUGCCGCCCGCACCGACUGAGGACCGCGCUUCGGCUAGGAUGCUGGCUUAAUGGCCUUCAGCGACCCGUCUUGAAACACGGACCAAGGAGUCUAACAUCUAUGCGAGUGUUUGGGUGCCAAACCCUUUCGCGGAAUGAAAGUGAACGGAGGUGGGAACCCCUCGCCGGGCGCACCAUCGACCGAUCCUGAUGUCUUCGGAUGGAUUUGAGUAGGA
rnacentral:rRNA from 1 species